CCCUUAGAUGUCCUGGGCCGCACGCGCGCUACACUGAGUGUCUGAGAUACGAGUCUGCCUGGUCCGGCAAGGUCUAGGUAAUCGCUAAAAGACACAUCAUGCUUGGGAUAGAUUAUUGCAAAUAUUAAUCUUGAACGAGGAAUUCCCAGUAAACGCAAGUCAACAGCUUGCGUUGAUUACGUCCCUGCCCUUUGUACACACCGCCCGUCGCUACUACUGAUUGGAUGUUUAAGCGAGGUUCUCGAACUGCUAGCGACUUAGCUUCGGUGAGGUCGCAGUGUGGGAAGUGAACCUAGCUUUGGUGUCUAGAGGAAGUAAAAGUCGUAACA
rnacentral:rRNA from 1 species